rnacentral:rRNA from 1 species
GACGAACGCUGGCGGCGUGCCUAACACAUGCAAGUCGAACGGGACCAGGGGCAACUCUGGUUCAGUGGCGGACGGGUGCGUAACACGUGAGGAACAUGACCUUCGGCGGGGGAGUAGCCGGCCCAACGGCCGGGUAAUACCGCGUACGACCUUUCGGGACAUCCCCGGAUGGUGAAAGCAGCAAUGCGCCGAUGGAGUGC